GCCUGGGUGGCUCAGUCAGUUAAGCGUCCGACUUCAGCUCAGGUCACGAUCUCGCGGUCCGUGGGUUCAAGCCCCGCGUCAGGCU
rnacentral:tRNA from 1 species